rnacentral:rRNA from 1 species
GCUCGUAGUCGGGUUUCGGGUCGGGCCGAGCGGUCUGCCGAUGGGUAUGCAUUGUUUGGCGCGGCCUUCUUUCCGGAGACCGCGGCUACUCUUAACUGAGCGGGCGUGGGAGACGGAUCGUUUACUUUGAAAAAAUCAGAGUGUUUCAAGCAGGCAGCUCGCUCUUGCAUGGUACAGCAUGGGAUGAUAGAAUAGGACUCCGGUGCUAUUUUGUUGGUUUCGAACACCAGGAGUAAUGAUUAACAGGGACAGUCAGGGGCACUCGUAUUCCGUCGAGAGAGGUGAAAUUCUCAGACCAAUGGAAGACGAACCACUGCGAAAGCAUUUGCCAGGGAUGUUUUCACUGAUCAAGAACGAAAGUUAGGGGAUCGAAGACGAUCAGAUACCGUCGUAGUCUUAACCAUAAACCAUGCCGACUAGGGAUUGGAGGGUGUUCGUUUCGACCUCUUCAGCACCUUACGGGAAACUAAAGUCUUUGGGUUCCGGGGGGAGUAUGGUCGCAAGGCUGAAACUUAAAGGAAUUGACGGAAGGGCACCACCAGGAGUGGAGCCUGCGGCUUAAUUUGACUCAACACGGGGAAACUUACCAGGUCCAGACAUUGUUAGGAUUGACAGAUUGAGAGCUCUUUCUUGAUUCGAUGGGUGGUGGUGCAUGGCCGUUCUUAGUUGGUGGAGUGAUUUGUCUGGUUAAUUCCGAUAACGAACGAGACCGUAGCCUGCUAAUAGUCCCGCGAACUUCUUGUUGGCGGCCGACUUCUUAGAGGGACAA